rnacentral:lncRNA from 1 species
UCCGAGUUAACCACUUCACAUUAUUAAUGGUAAAUUCUUCGAAUUUUUUGGAUCGUUUGGUGGUCAGGAUAUAAUCCCAUUUAGCUAUCCAUGGAACCUUAUACUGAAUCGUAAAGUCCAGUCUGGGAUUUUCAAGAGAUUUAUUAACCUCUGUAAACUGCUUAUAAACGGUUCGUACCUUAUCAGGUAACAUUAUCAGGAAAAUUCCCCAGUUAAAAAACCAUUCAUGAAACCAGGGAGGAAAUUCUUUAAUUUCCUUUUCGAGUUGAAAUUGGAUGAACCAACUAAACUUCUUUUGCCUGUUUUCAUAUAAGAGAGCUCCUGUCCAAGCCUGGAUAUAGUCAAAGUAACUAUACCAUUUUGGUCUUCCAUAUUGCAAUUCUU